rnacentral:rRNA from 1 species
UACGUAGGGGGCAAGCGUUAUCCAGAUUUACUGGGCGUAAAGAGCUCGUAGGUGGUUUGUCGCGUUGUCCGUGAAAAACUCACAACUCAAUUGUGGGCGUGCGGGCGAUACGGGCAGACUGGAGUACUGCAGGGGAGACUGGAAUUCCUGGUGUAGCGGUGGAAUGCGCAGAUAUCAGGAGGAACACCGGUGGCGAAGGCGGGUCUCUGGGCAGUAACUGACGCUGAGGAGCGAAAGCGUGGGGAGCGAACAGG